rnacentral:ncRNA from 1 species
UAUGAAACGAUGACGGAUAACAGUAGCCUAUUAUGGUUAAAAUACAGAGAAUAGAUCAUUAGUGAGAGAUCUGUAACCUAAUAAUAGAGUGAAUUACGAAUCCAAAGUUUCAAUAGGAAACUAUUGCGAUUAUCACACGUUACGUGAUUAGAGGCUUUAUGCAAAUUAAGGUGGUACCACGGGUGUCUUCUCGUCCUUUUA